CCGGUAAACGGCGGCCGUAACUAUAACGGUCCUAAGGUAGCGAAAUUCCUUGUCGGGUAAGUUCCGACCUGCACGAAUGGCGUAAUGAUGGCCAGGCUGUCUCCACCCGAGACUCAGUGAAAUUGAACUCGCUGUGAAGAUGCAGUGUACCCGCGGCAAGACGGAAAGACCCCGUGAACCUUUACUAUAGCUUGACACUGAACAUUGAGCCUUGAUGUGUAGGAUAGGUGGGAGGCUUUGAAGUGUGGACGCCAGUCUGCAUGGAGCCGACCUUGAAAUACCACCCUUUAAUGU
rnacentral:rRNA from 1 species